rnacentral:rRNA from 1 species
CACUGGACUGAGACACGGUCCAGACUCCUACGGGAGGCAGCAGUGGGGAAUAUUGCACAAUGGGCGAAAGCCUGAUGCAGCCAUGCCGCGUGUAUGAAGAAGGCCUUCGGGUUGUAAAGUACUUUCAGUUGUGAGGAAGGGGGUAGCGUUAAUAGCGCUAUCUCUUGACGUUAGCAACAGAAGAAGCACCGGCUAACUCCGUGCCAGCAGCCGCGGUAAUACGGAGGGUGCGAGCGUUAAUCGGAAUUACUGGGCGUAAAGCGCAUGCAGGUGGUUCAUUAAGUCAGAUGUGAAAGCCCGGGGCUCAACCUCGGAACUGCAUUUGAAACUGGUGAACUAGAGUACUGUAGAGGGGGGUAGAAUUUCAGGUGUAGCGGUGAAAUGCGUAGAGAUCUGAAGGAAUACCAGUGGCGAAGGCGGCCCCCUGGACAGAUACUGACACUCAGAUGCGAAAGCGUGGGGAGCAAACAGGAUUAGAUACCCUGGUAGUCCACGCCGUAAACGAUGUCUACUUGGAGGUUGUGGCCUUGAGCCGUGGCUUUCGGAGCUAACGCG